CUAAAGAAGAUGCAGAAGAUACUACCGUCCCAAGACCCAGAGGCAGUCCUGACCAAAGACAAUUCCUCUGAGAGAGGGCAACACUCUGCAAGACCCAGCAUUUUGCAUUUUUGUCUGCCCAUAUUUUGGGGCCCCUGCCACCUGCCAGUUGCUAAAUCUAGUUCUCAGGACACAAAGACAAGGCAAACAACAAGGCAAAAGGCAAUAGGGACUUCCCUGGUGAUCCAAUGGCUAAGGCUGCCUCCACUGUAGGGGGCGGGGCUUCCUCCCCGGUCAGGGAACUAGAGCUCACGUGUUGCAGUUAAGACACGAGGCAGCCAAGGAAAGAAAGAAAGAAUGAAAAGGCAAUGAUCUCGUCUCUGAGAGAGAAAAGAUCAACAACCACCGGGUACCCCGAAGCAAGUUCACAAUGCCCAAUUCGAAAUGUAAUUACUAACCCCCAACCCGCCAAUUUGCAUUUGGGGAGGAAGAGACAACGUGAGAUUUUACCUUCCUUUCUUAACCUAGCACCGCAGAUACAGAUCUGAGCAGCGGACUUUGGUAAGAAUUCUCCCAGGAUUCUGAGUGCAGGAUCUGCCACGGCCACUAGGGGGUCCCGGAGGCUCUAACCCUGGUCAUGGGAAACUCAGGAGGAGGAAAAAGAAUUUUCGCUCUGCCCAUUAUGGCGAGUGCUUUGCUGAGACCUUUUUCCUCCAGGGCACCCGGGAAACGCAGAAGUUAUCCAGGUGAAAAGCUCUUCGCUGCAGUCACUGUAAUUCAAGGUUAUUUUCGAUAAGGUUAACUUGCUUGCUCGGCCUUGAAGCAAAACACUUCCCGUGAGGCCUCGAACUGGACGCGGUCCGGCUUAAGGUGGACCGGAACCCGGUCUGGUUUCCCAGUCGGACCCAGGCUGACCCCGGACCCGGUCCAGCUUCCAAGUCGGAACAGCUAGGACUCCACCUGGUUUCCGGACCCAACGCGAGAAAAAGAGCCCCUCAAGAAAAGCUCAAAAACUCACGACAUGGGACACGAAAGCUGCUGAGCUAGGAGGAGGGACUCCCUCACCACCUGCAAGAGAGCAGCGGGAACGAGGGGCUCUCAGCUCCCACUCUUGUAUCAUCCUCUGUGUGAACCAGGAGGGAUUCAGAAACAAAAGCUCAUCCCUUGACUAUGGAAGCCUCUGGUUUAGAACCUGUGUCUCUGACAACCCACUGGCCAAGAUUUGGGGUCCCUUUGAAAUGCAGAUGCAGCAGGUUGCCGAUGAUGGGGUUUUUGUUUCCUUUCGUCCGGGCGCAGUUGUGAUAUUCAAUGAGAAGAGUGUGAAGUGCCACUUUAAAGCCAAACAUUCAAUUCCUCCUAAUUCACAUGGGAAAGAAGGAUCAAGUUGUGCAGCUGGGAGGUGAUGUUUCUUCCCAGCAGCUGUCAUUGAAGAGACACGUGCAGACCGCAGAAGUCAUUUGUCACAGAAUCCAUCCAGAAUUUGCUGUGUGCGUCUCUCUUGCUAACGUGACAUGAAAUAGUGAAGCUUUCAAAAUCAAGCACGGAGACUUCGUUGUAUUGACGUGGGCAAAAUGAAAUGGAGAGCUGAGGCAAUUAUGCGGAUAAAUCAGGCCAAAAAUAUCCGACCAUUGAGAGUAAAGUUCCUUUAGCUCAAAUUAUUCAGAGCGACUGUCCACGUUCAUCAAUUUAUCAGGAUAAUGAAUUUUAUCCUAUACUUUGUCACUACAGAUAUAUCUUUGGUCUAUGAAUUUGAAUGACUUGGUGAUAUUUUAUUUCACUGGAAAUUAUAAUAGGAGCUGAACGAGCAAGCACUAUGUUGAAAGAUUACUUCUGCAGCUAUGAUAAUAGUCCAAGAAAAUUUAAACUUCAUUAUUCAAUAGCUAGCAGAUAUGGCUAUUGGA
ensembl:lincRNA